GCCGUGUCUAAAGUUGUAGGGGCAGAAUGGAUAACUGAGGUUUGAACGGCUGGCCUGAAUGUUGCAGAUCGGUGUGGCCGGGUGUGUUGCAGUGAAUGCAGUAUUUCUGUUGGCGACAUUCAUCGAGAGUGUGU